GCACGACCAGCGGCCGAAUCCAUUUUCUCCAGUCCCCACAGGAGCAGGGCAUCUUGUCAUGAAGACUCCGCAGGCCUCCCUGGUCCAAUGACAAACACAGGAACUCGUAGCUGACGCCUGUAUACCUUCUAUCACGGGCAACAGUAUCCCAUAAAGGGCUUAACAGCUUAAUCUGUGAGGACACAAACAUUGAUCUUCUGGUGACUGGAUGUUUUUCAGGAUUGAGACUUUAUCUUGCACAGUGACACGUGUUAAGUUUGGCAGAAUCCUGCUGAGGUGCAAAGGGAACCAACAGAGGGCAAAGAUCAGCACAAGGCAGAAGACAGCUUUGGCCACCUCCCUCCUCUGCAAAGAGAAACAGAAGAUAAGGUGUUCACUGAGCGCAAUGCGAAGGCUGCCGUUCCGGUGGUUUAACAUCUCACAGGUCAUCAGAGUGUAGAAGAUGGCAGUGCAGGCAAUUCCGAGAUGGUGAAGAUCUGAUCCACUGCCGUACAUCUGGGAUGAAGACCUAUUGCUCCUCCUGAAUCUGAUGUUCAACAAUUGGCUGAAGACUCUUCUUCAAUUUCUUACAGUGGUGCCCCCAUCUCCCAUCUGAGUGGGUGUCAACCACUACAGCUCAACAAUGUUCAGAACCUUCAUCCUUUUAGGAUGAAUUAUUGAGGCCAUGAAUGGACUCACUGCCAUGGCAAAACUUCUUCAAAAUAAACAACAGAAUGCCUGACAAUGGAGGAAAGAAACAAGAAGAUCUAAAGUUUCAGGUAAAUAUCAAAUAUCUGGCACACUAAACCAGGUACCAUUAUAGAGGUCAACAACUCUAUAAUGGAUUGCAAGUAAUAUCAACACAGUUUGUGCAACCUGUUUCAAAGUAGUCAAUGGAGGUGCUAAAGCAUUCAAAUUUAUGGGCAUGACACAAUGUCAGGAGUUCGUUACAGGCGUAGCACGCUUGUUAAUAUAAACCAUACUGACUCUUAAAAACAUACAGGACAGGACAACUGCUAUAAUUUCCAAUACUGUUAUUAUUAUAUGACUCUGUUGUUCUCUCAUCAGGAUUUACUGCCUAUACACAUUCAUAUUUCUGAACUGGAUCUUGUCAGACAGAAAGCAAUGAUAGGCAGCAGGACUCUCAGUUUAUCUCACUUGUCUUUCCACAGUCACAGAGUUCAUGAGGGCAUGCUCAAAAUGUCUCAAAUAUAUCUCAAUAUCUGUGAGAGUUUUGAAGGGCAGAAAGAAGUUAAUCUUGAGUGUGUUUUAAUUGCUAAUGAACCUUUUAUUUCUCCUACGUUCCUCUUUGUGUUAUUUUUCAAAUCUCACAGGAAUAAAACAUAAACAACUGCUGAUUCUGUGAUCAACACUUCACAGCCUUUACCUCAGUUGGGCUGAACUUUUAAAAACAUCUGUGGACAAUUUGAACAUGGCAUGCUACUUGUAAACACAGCUGUGAGGGCCAAGUGGCCAAGAAUGAUGAUAACAAACCUCAGUCAAGCAAGACUGAUGGGAUUUCCACGAUGAAACUCCAGAUGUUGCUUGGUUCUCUCACCUGAUAGAGAUCGAAGAUCAGACAAACAUUUCAGCACAGUUUCAUGCAUUAAA